CACAGGAAACACUGCAACCACCACUGUUAGUGGGAGUGCAGGACCUGGCCCUGGGAACAACCAACCUGGAGUAACCACCACCAGGCCUAAUGACGACAGCGCGAUCCCGUUCUGGGCGAUUAUAUUAAUAAGCAUGGCCUCUAUAAUAGCUUUUGUAUUCCUCUUGUGUGGUUUCUGCGCGGUAAUGACCACCCUACGUCCCAGUGGGGGUUUUGGUUUAAGUUGUCCCAGUUAUUUCCCCCACUUUACUUUUGGACGAGGAAGUUCCGUGUCUCUUCCUACCACAAAUCGUCCAUGUCCACCACGACGUACGAGC